UUGAUUUUCUUCGGAACUGAAGAUUUGGUGAUUGAGUGGCGGACGGGUGAGUAACGCGUGGGUAACCUGCCCUGUACAGGGGGAUAACAGUCAGAAAUGACUGCUAAUACCGCAUAAGACCACAGCACCGCAUGGUGCAGGGGUAAAAACUCCGGUGGUACAGGAUGGACCCGCGUCUGAUUAGCUGGUUGGUGAGGUAACGGCUCACCAAGGCGACGAUCAGUAGCCGGCUUGAGAGAGUGAACGGCCACAUUGGGACUGAGACACGGCCCAAACUCCUACGGGAGGCAGCAGUGGGGAACAUUGCACAAUGGGGGAAACCCUGAUGCAGCGACGCCGCGUGAGUGAAGAAGUAUCUCGGUAUGUAAAGCUCUAUCAGCAGGGAAGAAAAUGACGGUACCUGACUAAGAAGCCCCGGCUAACUACGUGCCAGCAGCCGCGGUAAUACGUAGGGGGCAAGCGUUAUCCGGAAUUACUGGGUGUAAAGGGUGCGUAGGUGGUAUGGCAAGUCAGAAGUGAAACCCAGGGCUUAACUCUGGGACUGCUUUUGAAACUGUCAGACUAGAGUGCAGGAGAGGUAAGCGGAAUUCCCGGUGUAGCGGUGAAAUGCGUAGAUAUUAGGAGGAACAUCAGUG
rnacentral:rRNA from 1 species